rnacentral:rRNA from 1 species
AGUGAACGCUGGCGGUAGGCCUAACACAUGCAAGUCGAACGGCAGCACAGUAAGAGCUUGCUCUUACGGGUGGCGAGUGGCGGACGGGUGAGGAAUACAUCGGAAUCUACUUUUUCGUGGGGGUUAACGUAGGGAAACUUACGCUAAUACCGCAUCCGACCUACGGUUGAAAGCAGGGGAUCUUCGGACCUUGCGCGAUUGAAUGAGCCGAUGUCGGAUUAGCUAGUUGGCGGGGUAAAGGCCCACCAAGGCGACGAUCCGUAGCUGGUCUGAGAGGAUGAUCAGCCACACUGGAACUGAGACACGGUCCAGACUCCUACGGGAGGCAGCAGUGGGGAAUAUUGGACAAUGGGCGCAAGCCUGAUCCAGCCAUACCGCGUGGGUGAAGAAGGCCUUCGGGUUGUAAAGCCCUUUUGUUGGGAAAGAAAAGCAGCAGGUUAAUACCCCGCUGUUCUGACGGUACCCAAAGAAUAAGCACCGGCUAACUUCGUG